rnacentral:rRNA from 1 species
GACGAACGCUGGCGGCGUGCUUAACACAUGCAAGUCGAGCGGUAAGGCCCUUUCGGGGGUACACGAGCGGCGAACGGGUGAGUAACACGUGGGUGACCUGCCCUCAGCUCUGGGAUAAGCCUAGGAAACUGGGUCUAAUACUGGAUAUGACUCCAUGACGCAUGUUGUGGGGUGGAAAGCCUUGUGCGGCUGAGGAUGGGCCCGCGGCCUAUCAGCUUGUUGGUGGGGUGAUGGCCUACCAAGGCGACGACGGGUAGCCGGCCUGAGAGGGCGACCGGCCACACUGGGACUGAGACACGGCCCAGACUCCUACGGGAGGCAGUAGUGGGGAAUCCUGCGCAAUGGGCGAAAGCCUGACGCAGCGACGCCGCGUGAGGGAUGACGGCCUGGUGUAAC